rnacentral:rRNA from 1 species
CCUACGGGAGGCAGCAGUGAGGAAUAUUGGUCAAUGGACGCAAGUCUGAACCAGCCAUGCCGCGUGCAGGAAGACGGCUCUAUGAGUUGUAAACUGCUUUUGUACGAGGGUAAACGCAGAUACGCGUAUCUGUCUGAAAGUAUCGUACGAAUAAGGAUCGGCUAACUCCGUGCCAGCAGCCGCGGUAAUACGGAGGAUUCAAGCGUUAUCCGGAUUUAUUGGGUUUAAAGGGUGCGUAGGCGGUCGGAUAAGUUAGAUGUGAAAUCCCGAGGCUCAACUUCGGAAUUGCCUCUGAUACUGUUCGGCUAGAGAGUAGUUGCGGUAGGCGGAAUGUAUGGUGUAGCGGUGAAAUGCUUAGAGAUCAUACAGAACACCGAUUGCGAAGGCAGCCUACCAAGCUACUUCUGACGUUGAGGCACGAAAGCGUGGGGAGCAAACAGGAUUAGAUACCCGUGUAGUC